GGGUCGGUGGCAGAGCGGUCAAAUGCAUGAGACUGUAAAUCUCACGCCUCACGGCUACGUAGGUUCGAAUCCUACCCGGCCCACCA
rnacentral:tRNA from 2 species